AUACGUAGGGAGCAAGCGUUGUCCGGAUUUACUGGGUGUAAAGGGUGCGUAGGCGGCUUAGCAAGUCAGGCGUGAAAACUAUGGGCUUAACCCAUAGACUGCGUUUGAAACUGUUGAGCUUGAGUGAAGUAGAGGUAGGCGGAAUUCCCGGUGUAGCGGUGAAAUGCGUAGAGAUCGGGAGGAACACCAGUGGCGAAGGCGGCCUACUGGGCUUUAACUGACGCUGAGGCACGAAAGCAUGGGUAGCAAACAGGAUUAGAUACCCUGGUAGUCCAUGCCGUAAACGAUGAUUACUAGGUGUGGGGGGUCUGACCCCUUCCGUGCCGGAGUUAACACAAUAAGUAAUCCACCUGGGAAGUACGACCGCAAGGUUGA
rnacentral:rRNA from 1 species